AUGUUAUCUGAAAUAGCAUGAAACAAAUUCGCCCCGAACCUACUUUCCUUGCCCACCACAGUUUCCGGAGACACUGUGACAUUGAAAACCUAACCAGAAGGCUGCAGUCAUGUCAGGAGACUUUGUUGAUGAGAGAGUAGCCAACUACAAGGGCUUGCAGUUCUACUUCAACUCCUACACAAAGAGAGGCAGGCUAAACUGGGUCAUGGCUACAUACGGAACCCUCUUCGGCUAUUACUUGUUCAGCAAAUUACGGAAACCCAAGGCACCAGUUGCAGCCAAGAAAUAACUAGGCAGCCAUUUAGGAUGAAUAUUUGUGUACAUGAAUUGUGCAGUGAUAUGUAGACAGGCUGGUGAAGUGACCCCCAUUUGUCAUCAAGCAUUUGUGAACAUGGCUGUAGUAUAUUGUGUCUCACAUUUUGAAAAUUGGAGGUAAAACCAUCUUGUUUAUCAGCUUUGUUGCAUUAUAAAAAGUUGUAUGAAUAAAAUAUUAUCAAUUUGAUUGGUUAA